rnacentral:misc_RNA from 1 species
AGAAGGAGUUUCAAGCACGGAUAUUGUAGGUCGCAUGCUUCUCUGUGUAAGAGAAAGAUCUAUUAGUGACAAUCAAAAUCAUUCAUCAUUACAAAGACAAUUCAGUCAUGGUCACAGCCAAAAACUUGACGAUGGUGGAUCUGGAACUGGAACUCGCAUCUCUCAUUUCUUACCAACUUCUCGUAGAAUUGUUCAAUUUUCCAAUGGGAAGGGUCCAGGACCAGAUGCUCGCAUCAUUUAUAUUGAUGGUGCAUUUGAUCUUUU